rnacentral:rRNA from 1 species
GACGAACGCUGGCGGCGUGCUUAACACAUGCAAGUCGAACGGAAAGGCCCUGCUUUUGUGGGGUGCUCGAUUGGCGAACGGGUGAGUAACACGUGAGUAACCUGCCCUUGACUUUGGGAUAACUUUAGGAAACUGGGGCUAAUACCGGAUAGGAGCUCCUGCUGCAUGGUGGGGGUUGGAAAGUUUCGGCGGUUCGGGCUGGACUCGCGGGUUAUCAGCUGGUUUGUGGGGUAGGGGCUUACCAAGCCUGUGAAGGGUAGCCGGCCUGGGAGGGUGACCGGCCACAAUGGGACUGAGAGACGGCCCAGUAUCGUACGGUAGGCAGUAGUGGGGAAUAUUGCACAAAGGGCGGAAGCCUGAGGCAGCAGCGCCGCGUGCGGGAUGACGGCCUUCGGGUUGUAAACCGCUUUCGCAUGUGACGAAGCGUGAGUGACGGUAAUGAGUAAAGAAGCACCGGCUAACUACGUG